rnacentral:rRNA from 1 species
CCUACGGGUGGCAGCAGUGGGGAAUAUUGGACAAUGGAGGCAACUCUGACCCAGCAACGCCGCGUGAAUGAAGACGGUUUUCGGAUUGUAAAGUUCUUUUAUUAGGGAUGAAAACAAUGACGGUACCCAAAUAACAAGCCACGGCUAACUACGUGCCAGCAGCCGCGGUAAUACGUAGGGGGCAAGCGUUAUCCGGAAUUACUGGGGGUAAAGGGUGCGUAGGUGGUAAGGUAAGCUAUAUGUGAAAUACCUAGGCUUAACUUCAGCAUUGCCGCACGAACUAUUCGGCUAGAGUGCAGGAGCGGUAAGCGGAAUUCAUAGUGUAGCGGUGAAAUGCGUAGAUAUUAGGAAGAACACCAGUGGCGAAGGCGGCUUACUGGACUGAAACUGACGCUGAGGCACGAAAGCGUGGGGAGCGAACAGGAUUAGAUACCCCGGUAGUC